ensembl:misc_RNA Metazoa_SRP Metazoan signal recognition particle RNA
GCCGGGCGUGGUGGCGCAUGCCUGUAAUCCCAGCUACUUGGGAGGCUGAGGCAGGAGAAUCGCUUGAACCCAGGAGGCGGAGGUUGCAGUGAGCUGAGGUCGCUCACCAUUGCACUCCAGCCUGGGUGACAGAGUGAGACUCUGUCUCAA